GGAAAAUCGUUGGACGACCUGUAAUACGCUCGCUGAUCCUUAGGGAGUAAAGUUUUCACCCCCGCCGCACACCUAGCCGCUCGCGCAACCCUGUGAGGGGGCCGAGUCAUCAUCGUCCAGGGUUUCCUGUCGUCGUCCAUUUUCUUACGGAAGAAACCCGCCGACUUUGGGGAGGAUGGCCAUUUCUCUCAAGAACGGAGCAGAGACGCUAGCAGCACGUGCGGUAUAAGGGUCUGUAGGAUCCCGGAGAAAAGAGUGACCGGCUCUACGCUGCCUCGACACAUGAGAACAGCCGUUCUGUCGACUCCUCGGGUUCGCUACGACGAACAAGUGCACGUUGGUCUUUUCUUGUUUCUCUUCUCAAGGAGCUCCUCGCUACUGUUUCAGUACGAGGUACAACAGGAGUCGAGCUCUGCUGGCAGGCUGAGAGAGUGCAACCGGAAUUCUUCUCUUCGUUGUUGUGACAGUAUUUUGUUUUCUGUUUUUCGUCUACUGUAUACACGGGGAUGAGUUGAGCACAGAGCGCUGGACCAACGUUGUGUGGAGAUAGAUGUCACCCUGCCCAUUUUCCUCUUCCUUUAAGGAUACCGCUUAAAUUUUCCUUACCCCCCUAAACAAACUCCUUGAUGCUCUAUUACCCGUGUUUCUGCGUCGUCCAUUCGUGCGUGCUGUGGCACUGCACACCUUCAACGCUC
rnacentral:lncRNA from 1 species